rnacentral:rRNA from 1 species
CAGCAGCCGCGGGAAUACGAAGGGUGCAAGCGUUAAUCGGAAUUACUGGGCGUAAAGCGCACGUAGGCGGAUCGAUCAGUCAGGGGUGAAAUCCCAGAGCUCAACUCUGGAACUGCCUUUGAUACUGUCGAUCUGGAGUAUGGAAGAGGUGAGUGGAAUUCCGAGUGUAGAGGCGAAAUUCGUAGAUAUUCGGAGGAACACCAGUGGCGAAGGCGGCUCACUGGUCCAUUACUGACGCUGAGGUGCGAAAGCGUGGGGAGCAAACAGGAUUAGAUACCCGCGUAGUCCCUGUCUCUUAUAA